rnacentral:rRNA from 1 species
AGAGUUUGAUCCUGGCUCAGAUUGAACGCUGGCGGAAUGCUUUACACAUGCAAGUCGAACGGCAGCACGGGAGCUUGCUCCUGGUGGCGAGUGGCGGACGGGUGAGUAACGCGUCGGAACGUACCGAGUAAUGGGGGAUAACGCAGCGAAAGUUGUGCUAAUACCGCAUACGCCCUGAGGGGGAAAGUGGGGGAUCGCAAGACCUCACGUUAUUCGAGCGGCCGACGUCUGAUUAGCUUGUUGGUGGGGUAAUGGCCUACCAAGGCGACGAUCAGUAGCGGGUCUGAGAGGAUGAUCCGCCACACUGGAACUGAGACACGGUCCAGACUCCUACGGGAGGCAGCAGUGGGGAAUUUUGGACAAUGGGGGCAACCCUGAUCCAGCCAUUCCGCGUGAGUGAAGAAGGCCUUCGGGUUGUAAAGCUCUUUCAGCCGGAACGAAACGGUAUGUCUUAAUACGAUGUGCUAAUGACGGUACCGGCAGAAGAAGCACCGGCUAACUACGUGCCAGCAGCCGCGGUAAUAC